rfam:Aedes albopictus isolate Foshan contig79097, whole genome shotgun sequence.
UGCUCUGUGGCUUAGUUGGUUAAAGCGCCGGAAUACGGAGUUGUGGGUUCGAAUCCCACCAGAACGC